UCUUAAGGUGGAUCUAUUGCUAUUCAUAGGACUGGGAACAUGGUCACAUGGAGAAAACUGAGGACCAGCGAAGUGGCCUGCAGAAGUAACAAACUCCUUAACAAGUGCUAUGGCACCAGCUCAUCAGAAUGGACACUGGCUUUAAUGGUAUUCACUGAGUCCUAAAGGCCCUCUUCUCCUUAUUUCCUGAAUAUUGGGAAGAUCCAAAGGUUUCUGCAACAAAGGGGACAACCAAGUAAAUGA
rnacentral:lncRNA from 1 species